rnacentral:rRNA from 1 species
GUACACGAGCGGCGAACGGGUGAGUAACACGUGGGUGAUCUGCCCUGCACUUCGGGAUAAGCCUGGGAAACUGGGUCUAAUACCGGAUAUGACCUCCUAUCGCAUGGUGGGUGGUGGAAAGAUUUAUCGGUGCAGGAUGGGCCCGCGGCCUAUCAGCUUGUUGGUGGGGUAAUGGCCUACCAAGGCGACGACGGGUAGCCGACCUGAGAGGGUGACCGGCCACACUGGGACUGAGACACGGCCCAGACUCCUACGGGAGGCAGCAGUGGGGAAUAUUGCACAAUGGGCGAAAGCCUGAUGCAGCGACGCCGCGUGAGGGAUGACGGCCUUCGGGUUGUAAACCUCUUUCAGCAGGGACGAAGCGCAAGUGACGGUACCUGCAGAAGAAGCACCGGCUAACUACGUGCCAGCAGCCGCGGUAAUACGUAGGGUGCAAGCGUUGUCCGGAAUUACUGGGCGUAAAGAGUUCGUAGGCGGUUUGUCGCGUCGUUUGUGAAAACCAGCAGCUCAACUGCUGGCUUGCAGGCGAUACGGGCAGACUUGAGUACUGCAGGGGAGACUGGAAUUCCUGGUGUAGCGGUGAAAUGCGCAGAUAUCAGGAGGAACACCGGUGGCGAAGGCGGGUCUCUGGGCAGUAACUGACGCUGAGGAACGAAAGCGUGGGUAGCGAACAGGAUUAGAUACCCUGGUAGUCCACGCCGUAAACGGUGGGCGCUAGGUGUGGGUUCCUUCCACGGAAUCCGUGCCGUAG